rfam:Brassica rapa chromosome A4, whole genome shotgun sequence.
AUACCUUUCUCGGCCUUUUGGCUAAGAUCAAGUGUAGUAUCUGUUCUUAUCAGUUUAAUAUCUGAUAUGUGGGUCAUCGGCCCACACGAUAUUAACUUUAUUUUUAAAGGGAGAAGGUCUGAUAAGUUAGCUUGCUAACUGGGCUUUCAUGAGUCGCUUAUGUGUUGCACUACAACAUGGGCUGGCUCAACCCAU